UAAUACAUUCCAAUCACAAGAACUCGGCCAUUUUCGAUUCCACAUGCGCACUUAUAUAAAAAAAAAAGGAGCUAGACAAUCCUAUUCUUAAUUUAACAGCGGCUAAAGUAUUAACUCCGGUACUGCAAUAGAAGAAUCGACUUAACAGAUGUGAAGUAUAUUUUAAAUGCUUUGAUACUCAAAUGAAUUGCCAUUACAUUCAAAAACACUAUAAUCAGCCAACAGCUCUCAUCAAGAACCUCCAGAUAGUAUUGAGAAAAAAUUUGAUGAAGACAAUGAAAAUGUGGAAAAAAAAUUGGAGACUUUGACAUGUUAUUCGCAAUCCAUAGUGAUAAUCCUAUUAACAGUGAAGAUACACAAAACAAAGUUUAAGAUUUAUACAACUUAUUUAAUAGUUAAUAAUCAAUUUUAAAUUUAUAAGCUCCCGUUUCAUAAUUUAAAAAUUAUUAUUCCAUUAAGGUUUUGAAAUCUAAGCUCAUCUAAGAUUAACAAAUAAUUGUAUGAGGUUACAUUAAAACACACAUUUUCCCAGCCCCACCCAUUUUUAAUUUUCCAAACUUUGUGUAUGUCUUCCAAUACAUUUCUAUACGUACAUUUCCCCAGCCCCACCCAUUUUUUCACUUUUUCAUUUUAUUCACGACGGAAUAGAAUUUGUAUAAAAUGCUUUAAACGACAUGUCCAAGAAGCAAACAGAAAAAUGAGUAUGCCAUUGAACCCAUAUUUAUUAAGCAGGGCAAUGAUACCAGUUACGGCGAUCAUUCACGCGGUAAUA